UACGAAGGGUGCAAACGUUGCUCGGAAUCAUUGGGCGUAAAGCGCACGUAGGCGGCUUCGCAAGUCGGAUGUGAAAUCCCUCGGCUCAACCGAGGACGUGCAUACGAAACUGCGAAGCUUGAGUACUGAAGAGGAUCGCGGAAUUCCCGGUGUAGAGGUGAAAUGCGUAGAUAUCGGGAGGAACACCAGUGGCGAAGGCGACUUCCUGGCCUGUUCUUGACGCUGAGGCGCGAAAGCUAGGGGAGCAAACGGG
rnacentral:rRNA from 1 species